rnacentral:snoRNA from 1 species
AAGACUAUAUUUUCAGGGAUCAUUUCUAUAGUUCCUUAUUUGGAAAUGUGUUUUGAAAGUGUCUGUCUCCCAACCCACGAUGCUGAGCCGUGAUGCUUCUUUAUGAGAAUGAAUUAAAGACAGAGCUGUGACUUUGGUUGCAAGCUCCGUCAUUGAUGAGUGUUUUCUAUUGUUUUUGGCAAUAUUGAUAAAAGGAGUAUGAUCUGAGUGGC